rnacentral:lncRNA from 1 species
UUCUUAAGUCAGUUAAACCUUUCUCUUCUUUAAAUUUAUAUUUUUAAUAUGUUUUUUUUUCCAUGGAUUUCUAAAAUGAGAUUUUCAGAUUUGUUAUUUCCCGUGGCAGGAGAAAACCUGGUGUGCAGAAUGAAGUCAUGACAGAUGGAACGGACCAAGCUAUAGUAAGCAUGUAUGAUGUGAAGAGCCUUUCAAGAACUUUUGGAUAAUCUACCUUCCGCUGAAGAAGAGGAUCGAUCGUAUGGGAAAAGCACCUGCAACAAGUAGUUACACUCUCCUAUUGAAAUGAGACCCUUGAUACUGAGAAGUGAUAUCAUCAUAUGCAAGCUUUUCUACAGUCUGCUCUCAUUCAAGAAUCCCUUCAGUAAUCUGCUGUUGCAUGAAUUCACGGUUGCAUUAUGAUGAGGAUACACAUUGUUUAUUAAAUCGUUUGUCCUUUAUUUGCAUCUAUUUCCAGUUUUCUAAACUAUUAUAAGCAAUCCAGUAAUAAAUGGCCUUUU